UACGGAGGAUGCAAGCGUUAUCCGGAUUUAUUGGGUUUAAAGGGUGCGCAGGUUGUUUGAUAAGUCAGUGGUGAAAGUCUGUCGCUUAACGGUAGGAUUGCCAUUGAUACUGUUAGACUUGAAUAUGGAUGAGGUAGGCGGAAUGUGUAGUGUAGCGGUGAAAUGCAUAGAUAUUACACAGAACACCGAUUGCGAAGGCAGCUUACUAAUCCAUCAUUGACGCUGAGGCACGAAAGCGUGGGAAUCAAACAGGA
rnacentral:rRNA from 1 species